rnacentral:rRNA from 1 species
UACGUAGGGUGCGAGCGUUAAUCGGAAUUACUGGGCGUAAAGGGCGCGUAGGCGGUCAGCACAAGUCAGUUGUGAAAUCUCCGGGCUUAACUCGGAAAGGUCAACUGAUACUGUGCGACUAGAGUGCGGAAGGGGCAACUGGAAUUCUCGGUGUAGCGGUGAAAUGCGUAGAUAUCGAGAGGAACACCUGCGGCGAAGGCGGGUUGCUGGGCCGACACUGACGCUGAUGCGCGAAAGCGUGGGGAGCAAACAGG